UAAGUAUAUACUUAAACUUAAGUAUUUAAGUUGUGAAAUCAGAACUGUUUCAUCUGAAAUGAUGUGUUUUGAAGGAGUUCCGUUAGAAUUGAAAAGGUAGGACGGUGAGUCGCGGCAUCUGCAGUGUCUUGGUGUCAGGAAGACACAGCCUGGUACCAGUCAGUCCUGGUGAUGUGGGCAGCAGGAGUGGGAGUGGGGAACAGCUCUGUGGUGGAUGGGAAGGCACACUGCUUCGGAGGAUGCUGCACUUAGAAAUCAGUUUCUUUAGGCAAAGUCUGCACAUACCUGGCUUACCUCCAGGAAGUGGGGCGCCAACAUAAAGGUGAAGGCUCCAGAUCAGCGUCAGCAGACUCUUCAUGUAAAGGGCUGGCUGGUAGAUAUUUUAGGGUUUUUGCAGGCUGUGGGGUCUUGCUCCCAACUACUCAGCUCAGCCACUGUAAUGCAGAGACAGCUGUAGACAGUAACGAAAGUGAGCGUAACUGUGUCCAGUAAAAAUUUUAAUGGGGGAUUUUGGCCGGUGGGCCGUAGUGUGCCGACUCCUGCUCUGAAUCACACAUCUGAGUGGUUUUGUCUGGGGCCUGGUACCACUGGGUGCUGUUUCCUGUCUAGUUACCUGGUUUUUUAAAGUACGCUUUCCCUGCUGUAAGAUGGGAGCAAUACCUAUAAAACCUGUGCCUGGCAUGUGAUGACAUGAAAUAAUAUGUAAAAUGCCACUCUGAAAGAAGUUACUAAUGUGUUUUUCUGUGAGAUGCGAUUCUGAAAAGCGGCAUUUAAAUCAUAGUUUGUUCAUGGGCUCCUGUGUUUAAUAGAGUAGUCAACUUAGGGCUUACAAGAGGGCUAAACCACUCCAACAGAUGCCUGAGAGGAUGCAGCCGAGAGAUGUUAAUUUCUCUUUCCAAUAACAGGAUGGCUGUUCCAGGAUGUUGGGAGACCCUGUUCCUUGUAGUCAUUGAGGGGUCUAGGGUCUUCUAUUUUGCUUUACUGCCAGCUCCUGUGGCAUUGUCCUUGAUUGAUCAGUAGCAUGGAUACUGUGCUCAGCAGACAGACAGCUACAGGUGGGGAAAGAGGGCCUGGGCACACAGAGCUCAAGCCAGGUCUUAAGCAAGAGCUGAAAGGGGAGCAGCUCACUCACUCACACUCUACUGGAGAGGUUUUGGGUCACACUUAACUGGUCAGAAGGCCCAGUAGCCAGAGCCAGACCAUGCAGACAAAAAGUCAGGGUUUGUGAUUUAACUUAGAAAUAGAGGCAGGAUGGAAAAAUGGAUUUGUGUGGAGACUUGGAGAUCAUGUACCAUGCAGUAGAUCUGUUCUGGGAGGAGAAGGAAGCUAUGGUUGUGAGUGAUGAAGGUCACUGCACUGGGUGUUCAGAAGCAGCUGUCACAGCCUCUUCCAUUCAGCACUUAUUAUGUAGCUUUAUUUAAUGUUGCAAAAUACCACAUAGAGAAGAAGGAAUAUAAGGGCAAAACUAAUGGCUGGAUAGCUGUUGUGGCUUGUAAUUCUGACCUAAAAUUAGUUUAGAAAUUACAAUUGAAAAUGCAAUUGUGAAGUAUUUUGAAAUAUGUUAAAAUGUUGCCUAGCCUGCUGAAAUGUUUCUCAGCUGAGGUACCCAUGUAAAAUGUGUGCAUACAUAUCAACAGGCUAAGAAACAGAGGAGUCAAACUAUUUGAUUAGUUGAGACAGGUUUACCUCCAAUUAACUUUUUAAUUCUUUUCUUUCGGUUUGUAGCACUUGGUGAUGCAUGUGUUAAUGUUCAUAAUAAAACAAAAGUUACCCAUUCUUAGAUUACUUUAUUACUACGAGUAAUGGCUUUCCUGCUGAAGGUGCUUCGUAGCUCCAUGAAGAGGGCACAGAGAAAGUUACUUGAUGCCUUUGAGUCACUUUCACUUUAAAAGAUGCUAGUAGCCUUUGGAUCCCACUUUGCCCUGGUGCUUGGCCAAGGCCAGGGCAUCUGACUGCCUCUAAUCACACUGAGGAAGGAGGUGGUAGAGGGGGAGGUUUGAUCUAUGCUGAUGGCCCUACCCUUGCUGGUGCCCUCUGUUGCUGGGACUUGGCGCCCCACCUGCUUACCAAGCAGAAGUGAUCUCAGAGUGGUCUCCAUAGCCAAGAGAGUGGGUUUUGUCAGGCAAGGAAGGAUCCUGAAGAUGCACACCCUCCCGGUGUGGAACAUGGUGCUAUCCCCAGCUCAUCUCCCUUGGUACCAGGAGUGUUGGUGUUCUGUACACACUAACUAGAGGACUUUCCCACUCUUCUGUUUGCCUGUUUGCUCUUAGGCAUUAUCUAACCCAAAUUUGGUUCCGUGGGAAUAAACAUACUUGGUCAGAAAGUGUGAAUAGUUAUUUCUAGCAUUUAAAACUUUCUUGCUGAUGAUGCUAUUAAAAUAUGCACAUGUGCAUGCACGCAGUAUGUCUGCAGCUGGAGAGGAAGGAGCAUGCACUGCUCCCGGGCAGCUGGUCAGGCUGGUGGCCCAGCCAUCAUGCCUGCUCCUUGUCCAGGGGAGGAAGUUGAUGUUCUGAAGGAGCACAGCAUAUUCAGUCUGCUCCAGGGUUGGUUCCCUCUGGAAAGCUUCCCUGGCCCCCUCACUGCUGUGUGGUCUCCCUCAGGUUUUCCCUGCUGGAGAGGCCUUCCCUGACCCCAGGAUGUGACACUGUAGCCCUGCCCUCGACGCUCUCUCCCCAGCUUUGUGGUUCUCCAAAGCUCUCAUCACUGUCCGACACAUUGCUUAUUUAUUGCUUGCUUGCCAGGCAGGCAUUUCUAGUUGUCUUAGCUGAAGAGAUAACUGAGAGUCAGCCUGAACUCUACUGUGUGGAGUGGCUGUGGGUCGUGAGCAAGUUGCUGAACACACAGACUAGAGUAUCCCUGAAUGUAAAACGUGGAUAGUAAGAGCUGUUUCGUCAGAUUAUAUCAGUGCAUAUAGACUAGGUCCUUGGGAUAGCUUCUGAGAGAUUUUAUUAUAUUAAAUCACAUAAAUUAUUUCACUUCAAUGGGAGAGGAGUGGUAAUAAGCAUUUUUAAAAAUAUGGUGCCUCUGAUGGGUUAAAGGGCUGGCUGUCAGUUUAAACAUGUUGCCUAGUGUUUGGCUAAAAGGACAGUUGAAUGAUUGUGCAGGGAAAGAGGUUAUUUUGGAAAUACAUGUAGGAUGAUUACUGUCAGCUAUCACAUCUUACCCUUUGGGUAAAUGCUUAAUAAGGUAAUAUAUUAAUGCUGGGCUCUGCUAUGUGCUAGGGCCGUGGAAAGAAUCUGUGAGGCCUUCAGGGAACCUCUGUGGAACCACCAAGGAUGCAUUUCGAACUCUGAAUUCUGAGAAUUCUAGUUGAUCAUCCUUGAAGGAUGCAUUUCUGAAGAUGUUGUAUUUGAAAGUCCCCUUGGCAACAAUAUGGCUCUUAUUGCUAUAUUGGUUGGGAGUGAGGGGAAUUGGGGUGAAGGUUGGCUGUCUUGCCUUGGCUGGUCUGCCCCUAGACCCCUGCGUCGCUGUCUGGGAAUCUGAGGGGUAGGGGUUGGGGUGGGCAUGGGGAUGUCUUUUGUGAGCAGGCAAAGGCCCUGGGUGGAGUGUGGGUGUUCUCGUAGCGUGGUGCAUCUCUUCUGUUGUGAUGUUUAAGUAUUGACUGGAGCCACUUACGUUAUCUGUGAUCAAUCUUUUUGUCCUCACCUCUAAAUGAGAGAGAUGAUAUCUACUCAUUCAUAUAUUCAGCAAGUACUUAGAGGGCAAUUACUGGUCCUUGGCACCUAAAACAAAAUGAGUUUUGCCCUCACGGAGUUUAAAAUUGUGAGAAUUAAGUGAGCAAAGAGAGAAGUAUGGUAUCUCAUAGGAGAUACUUAAAAAUAUUUCUCUCUUAUUUUUAGAGCUUUUUAGUUUAGAAUACUGUCUUAAAGAAAAAAGAUCUUAUUGUGAAUUAAUUACUUGCAAUUUAUAUUCACCUGCCUCUUUCCACAAAUGAUCUGAAGUUGAGCGUAUUUCAUUUAUUACUGUAAAGUUUUUGUUUUUGCUUAGAGUAGUGAGUAGAUGGAUGAAUGAAGGAAAAUGAAUGAUUUUAUUAUAAAUAAGCCAGAGAAAAAGUACUACCAGUUCCUCCCUAGAAUCUACUUAACAGAUAAUUUGAGGACUUUCUUCCCUAAUAGGUUGCUUUAAAAAAAUAAAUUUUUGAAGCAGCUUUAGAUUCACAGCAAAACUGAAUGGAAUGUGUAGAGAUUUCCCAAGUGCCUGCUGCCUCUACACAUGCGCAGUCUCCCCCAGUGUGGAUACCUUGUACCAGAGUGGUACCUUUGUUAACCAUCAGUGAACCUGCAAUGACAUUAUCAUCACCCAAAGUCCACAGUUCACAACAGGAGUCACUCUUGGUGUUGAACAUUCUGUGGGUUUAAACAAGUUUAUAACAAAUACUCUCAUAUAUGUAUCAUACGGAACAGUUCACUACCCUAAAAAUCCCUCCUUCCCCUCAACCCCUGGCAGCCACUCCUUUUUACUGUCUUCACAGUUUUGCCUUUUGUUUUACAGUGUUACAUAGUUGGAAUUCUACAGUAGCCUUUUCAGUUUGGCUUCUUUUACUUAAAAUGUGCAUUUAAAUUUCUUCUGUGUCUUCUCAUGAUUUGAUAGCUCAUUUUUAGAAAAAUGCUGAAUAGUACUCCGUUUUCUGAAUGUGCCAAAGUUUAUUCAUUCACCAACUGAAGGAUAUCUUGGUUGCUUCCGAGUUUGGCAAUUAUGAAAAAAAGUGCUGGAAACACCCAUAUGCAGAUUUUCGUUUGGACAUUAAUUUUUCAGCUCUUUUGGGUCAAUACCAAGGAGCUCACUUGUUGGAUCCUGUGAUAAGAGUAUGUUUAGUGUGGUAGAAAACUGAACAGGUGACUGCACCAUUUGGCAUUCUCACCUGCAGUGAAGGAGAGCCCCUCUUGCUCCAUGUCCCGUCACUCCUCUCAGCCAUUCUCAGAGGUGUAUGGUGGCAUCUCACUGUGGUUUCCAUUUGCAUUUCCCUGAUGACAACAAUGACUUUUCACAUGCUUUUUUGGGCCAUCUGUUUAACUUUGGUGACAUGCUUGUUAAGUCUUUGGCUACUUUUUAAUUGGGCUGUUUUUGGUAUUUUUGAGUUUAGAAGUUCUUUGUAUAUUUUAGGUAAGUGUUAUAAGUCUGUGACUAUUCUCUCAGUCUGUGACUUGUCUUCUCAUUUUCUUGGCAGUGUCUUUUGCAGAGCAGAAGUUUUUAAUGAAGUCAAGUUUAUCAGUUCUUACAUGGAGUGUGUCUUUGGUGUCGUGCCUAGAAAGUCAUCACCAAACCCAAGGUCAUCUAGAUUUUCCCCUCUGUUUUCUUGUAGGAGAUUUGUAGUUUUGCCCUUUGCAUUUAGGCCUGGGAUCCUCUAAAGGGUAAGGUCUGUGUCUCAUUUCAUCUCCCUGCAUUUGGAUGUCCAGUCGUUCCAGCUCCAUGGGUUGAAAAGCCUAUCUCUUCUCUGUGGGAUUGCCUUUGCUGCUGGCCUGUGCUUUGAAAACUAUCCGUAUUGCAUCCCUGGGAAUUUGGCCCUAUGGAAGCUUUACUAGCUUCCCUUCCCCACCCA